UGAGGAAUAUUGGUCAAUGGGCGAGAGCCUGAACCAGCCAAUUCGCGUGAAGGAUGACUGCCCUAUGGGUUGUAAACUUCUUUAGUAGGGGAUUAAAGUUUGCCUUGCGAGGCAAUUUGCAAGUACCCUAAGAAUAAGUAUCGGCUAACUCCGUGCCAGCAGCCGCGGUAAUACGGAGGAUACGAGCGUUAUCCGGAUUUAUUGGGUUUAAAGGGUGCGUAGGUUGCUUUUUAAGUCAGUGGUGAAAAGCUGUGGCUCAACCAUAGUCUUGCCGUUGAAACUGAGGAGCUUGAGUGUAGAUGCUGUAGGCGGAACGCGUAGUGUAGCGGUGAAAUGCAUAGAUAUUACCCACAACUCCGAUUGCGAAGGCAGCUUACAAAGUUACAACUGACACUGAAGCACGAGAGCGUGGGUAUCAAACAG
rnacentral:rRNA from 1 species